ACUGAAUAGAUACCCAGGUAGUCCACGCCCUAAACGAUGUCUACUUGCUGUUGGGUCCGAUAGGAUUAAAGUAGCGAAAGCAAAAACGCGAGAAGUAGACCGCCUGGGGAGUACGGUCGCAAGAUUAAAACUCAAAGGAAUUGACGGGGACCCGCACAAGCGGUGGAUGAUGUGGAUUAAUUCGAUGCAACGCGAAGAACCUUACCUGCUCUUGACAUGCUAGGAAGAUCUAAGAGAUUAGAUUGUGCCUUCGGGAACCUAGACACAGGUGCUGCAUGGCUGUCGUCAGCUCGUGUCGUGAGAUGUUGUCUUAAGUGACGCAACGAGCGCAACCCUUACCACUAGUUGCCCCAAUUAAGUUUGGCACUCUAGUGGGACUGCUGGGAUAGAUCCAGAGGAAGGUGGGGAUGACGUCAAGUCCUCAUGGCCCUUAUGAGCAGGGCUUCACACGUCAUACAAUGGUAGGUACAGAAGGUAGCGAAGCCGCGAGGUGGAGCCAAUCCUAGAAAGCCUAUCGUA
rnacentral:rRNA from 1 species